AACAGAGUUGAAGAGCUGACACGGUGCUUACUAACUCAUCAGAAGCAGAAGCGCCCUGGUGAUUCUAUGCCACACCACCAUUCCCCAGGAAAAUGUUCUCCACUGAGACAAAAUCCUUAAAUUUUUAGAAUGGCCUUAUUAUGGAUUACAGCAAACAUCUCAGCACAUCUUUCUCAGCAAGGAUCUCAAAACAGCAUUGGGAUGGCCUUAUUAAUAGAUCCCUUACGAAAACUCAGAAAAGUUAGAGAGGCACUCAGAAUCUUCCUAAAAUAUGAAAUGUUGAAAUCUGGAUUCUUUUUUUACCAUGACUGCAAAAUGUAAGCCACUACUUGGGCUCACCUUGUUGAAUCAGAUUUCUUCUACUUUGCCAUUUUGAUGAUAUCACUCCCAGGUAUGUUUUUUUCUUUUUUUUUCCUUUUCUUUUUCCUUUCUUUUCUCUUUCUUUUUUUUUUUUUUUUUUUUUUUUGAGACAGAGUUGUGCUCCUGUUGCCCAGGCUGGAGUGCAAUGGCACGAUCUCUGUAGGCUCACUGCAACCUCCACCUCCCCAGUUCAAGCAAUUCUCCUGCCUCAGCCUCCCGAGUAGCUGAGAUCACAGGAGCCUGCCACGACGCCCAGAUAAAUUUUUGUAUUUUUUUAGUAGAGAUGGGGUUUCACCAUGUUGGCCAGGCUGGUCUUGAACUCCUGACCUCCAGUCAUCUGCCCACCUAUGCCUACCAAAGUGCUCACUCCCAGGAGAUGAAUCUAUUGCUUCCAGAGCAUGAAUACUAGAACAGAGGACAGUUGGUAAAACUGAGAUACCAUGCCAGGUAAUAGUCGGAGUUUCAGCUGGAAAAUAGAAGAUAUGUUUCCAUUGGGUCAAGCAAGAAGAGCUUGAGACAUCUCAUCGAUUACCUACAAAAACUGCCCAGAUAAGUGAGGAGACCCAUGAGAUUUGGUAUAAAUUGCUCACUGUAUGUGGGGUAACAGAAAGAAGAAUAACCCAACAUAGAAAGCCUCAAAGCAGGAAGAUACUACACAGACUUCCAAAGAAGCAGUGAGAGGACACCAUCUGAUGCUGGCUGCACCAAGAAGCCUGAAUGGCUGUCAGUGUCAGGUGGGGAAGCAGAUGACAGAAGAGAGGAGAACAUGAAAUUGUACUAUAACUGCGUUUGUUGUCCAAAUAAGCACAAGCUGUUCCAUAUACUUUUACAUGUUUCAUUUACUUCUGCAGAGAGGAAAGAAGAAAGAUGAGAGGGAAAGCUAAGAAAAGGUGAGAAGAAAGGGUCAGGAGGAGAAAUGCAAAGAGACUGGGAUAAUUUUUUGGACCAUACCUUCUCUGCUGGCAGCUUACUGUGACUGCACCAUCCAAAAUUUGGUAUAAGGAUUUGGAAAUUUGACCAAUAUUUCUUAGAAGGUAAUGAAAUACCUAAUUGUUUUCCUUCCUUUUCAGCCCCAUCACCAUUUGUUCAUUCAAAAUUCAAAAGGUAAAGAUGAUGCCAUUUUAUGCUUGUAUAUAGUUUAAUUGAGAUUGCCUGAUAUCUCACAACAUAUUAGUAAUCUAAUGACUAGUAAUUCCUCUCUGGAGAUCACCCCUAAAAGUAUACCCUAGAAUGUGAACCAAAAUUUAUGUUCUAAAUUUCCUGUCAAGUAAUACUAUGUAAAGAACAAAAACAGGAGGGAUAUCUUAAAUUCCAAUGAUAGAAGACUGAUUGACUGUAUAUUAAUACUUUGAAGUAGUAGAAAUAUUAUAGUUCAAUUGAAAAUGAUAUCUGUAAGUAUUGCUAAUGAUGCCAGCAUAGAUUUACUAUGAAAUGUUUUGUGAAAAUAAUUAAGAUACAAUUGUAUUAUGGGUAGCAAACACAGGAAAAACUAGAAAGAAUACUAACAAGUAAACUGUGAUUAAAUUUCUACGGUAUGUGUUGUCAUCUUUUUAAUUCUAUUUUUCCAUAUUUUUCAAAUUUUCUGUAUGUAUGCAUAGUAAUUUUCUAUUUUGAAGAAAUAGGUGUUAUCAUUUUUUGAAGAAUAAAGGAGGCAGAGCUUUUAAUUUUAUAAUCCAUUUCUUCCUUUUAGCCUUGCUACAAGGCUGAAAAAAUGUACAAGAAAAAUUUUCCUGUUGUUUCUGCCUUAUUUUUAUUAGAGCAAGAAAAAAAUGAAAACCCAAAAGUAAAAUGAUAACAUGAAGAAAAUGAUACGUUUCUUAGGUAUUUAGCUGAAAUAGAGGUAUAGAGAAAAAUAAUUGAUGAUUUUGGGAGGGUAUUUUUCCUAUGUCAAAAGGUAGAACUUGAUGAUGUCAUAGUAACUCUUGUUUUGGAAGUGCAUAAAUAUUCAAAAUAAAAAUUUUAAAUGAUCUUGUUUUCCAGAAGAAAAUGAUCCUCAAACUUUGUUUUUGUUAUAGCUGCACUGCAAUUUCUUUUGGUCUGAAACUAUAGCAAUAGAAUUCUUGAAGAUCACUUUGGCAAGAACGGAGUAUAUGGAGAAUUAGGGACAAUUUAAACUCACUUUCUUCUAUUAUCUCAUAUUAUAGAUGAAUUAUUGUCCUGAGAUUUCAUAUUUUCAAAGCAAGAAUACAGUUGGACAUGGAAACAUCUUAUGAUUAUUCUUCUAUAAGCAGAAAGAAGCAUUUAAUACAAUCUAACACCCUUUUAGUCAAAACACAUAAUAAAAUAGCAAGUAAUUAAGAUUUUAUUAAAAACUUAUAGAUAUAUGUACAUACUGUAUAUGUGUGUAUAUAUACACACAUACACUUACAUACACACACACACAAUUGUAUAUGCAGUAGCCUUCCCUUAUCUGCAAUACCUUGUUUUAUUCCAACACCCCCAGUGGAUGACUGAAACCUCAGAUACUAGCAAACCUGAUUGUCAUCAAUUGGAAGGUGCUUCUGUUCAUGUCUUUCACCCACAAAUUCAAUGACUUUUUCAUCUUAACUAAGCACUUAUAAACAGUGGCUGUAACUUUUGUAGUUUGAGGGGCAUCAGAAAAACAAGCAAGAUUUUUUUUCCUUCUUUACAGUUUCACACAUGGAUAAUUUGUUCUUACCAUAGCUCUUAGCAAUCUCAGCAUAUAUACAUAUAUUUUUCUUUCCUUAUUAAAAACUUUCACCUUUUAACUUAAAAUAACCACUUUACAGCUUCACUUUGCAUGUCUGAAUUGCCAGAAUCACUAUUCUUGCAUUUUGGGGCUAUUACGAAGUAAAAUAAGGGUUACUUAAACACAAGCAGUGUGAUACUGCAACAGUUGGUCUGAUAAUAGAGAUAACUAUUAAAUGAUUAAUAAUGCACAAAUAAUGUUGAUAUUGUGGAUACGCUGGACAAACGGAUGACUUAUGGCCUGGGCAAGUUGGAAUGGGAUGGCAUGAGAUUUCAUCAUGCUACUCAAAACUGUAUGCAAUUUAAAACUUUUGAAAUAUUUGUUUCUGAAAUUUUUCAUUUAAUAUUUUUGAACCUCAGUUGACCGCAGGAAACUGAAACUGCAAAAGUAGAAACCAUGGAAAAGGGAAGACUGCUGUAUACAAUUCAGCCUCAAGGACAAUAUAUUAAUUAGCUAUUGCUACAACAGUGCUGUGUAAAGAACAAACCCAAAACACGGUGGCUUACAAAAACACAAGUCUGCAGGAGAUUUGUAGUUUACUGGGCUCAGUAGUUAUCAACUGGGCUUAGUUCCAGUCUGCAGGAUAGGAUAAGGUCAUUUUUUUUUCUUACUCGGGAGCAAAGUUGAUUACUUGGGGCAUUUUCUAUUCAUCAAAGAAGGCAGCAACAUAAAAGACCAACUCAAACCAUGCAAGUAUAUUUAAAACUGUAUUUGCAUCACAUCGACAAACAAUCCUUUCAAUAAAACAAGUCACAUGUACAAACUCAAGGCUAAUGGGGAGACCAUGUGCACUUUACAUCUUUACUGGCAGGCCUUUCUGAAUCACAUGACAAAGAGUGUGACUAAAUAGUCUGCAAAGGGGAUGGAGUGAAGACUUUGGGAAAAUGAUUAAAUCUAUCAUAGCUAACAUCUUACAUCAUGUGGAAACAUUAGAGACCUUCUACUAAUGUCAGAAACAAGAAAACAGUAUACUUGAUCUCCAGCACCGUAUUUAAUAUUGUGAUGGCAGUAUUAAUGAAUACGAUUAGACAAGAAAAUUCAUUAGAAACAUGAGAAUUGGAGGGAAAGAGGUAAAACUUUAUCAGAUUAUAUAUAAAAUCCAAAAAAUAAAAAACUACAAUAAAAACAGUAACUUAAUAAAGCAUUAAGUUGUUCAGUUAAUAUGUAAAAAUCAACAGCCUUUAUUUAUCCAACAAAAACUUAAUAGAUGAUAUUAUGGAAGACAAAAUAAUAUAUUGUAACAGCAAAAAUAAAAAUAAAAUACCUGGGUGUAAAUUUUACAAAAGAUGUCCCAAAGUUCUAUGAAGAGGAUAUUUUACACCUGAAAAACAUAAACAAAAAAUUUCAGAUUUGGAGCAGGACAAAUUGGUUAUAAGUUUCAAUUAAAACAAUAAAUAAUUAAAACUAUUAAGCAAAAUUCUGAAAAAGAAAAAUAACAAAAGGACCUGAAGGUUAGCCCUAUUAGGCAUUAAACAUAUCAUAAUGCCUCUAUUAUAACUGAGUUUGUCCAGGAAUUUAAUGAGUAAAUAGGCUAAUGUAAAACUACUGAAAACCCACAAGAGAAAUAAUUUCUUAUGAAAAUUUAGUAUAUGAUAAAUGUGGCAUCUUAAAUUAGUGAAGAGAGGGAUUUUUUUUAAUAUGAGCUAUUUUAAUAUGCUAUAUCAAAGUGCAUAAUGGAUCAUUUUUCACUUCAUUUUAGAAUAAGUUCCAAAUGCAUCAGAGAUUUGUAAAAGCAAAACAAAAAUAAUAUAAUGAGACCUUUCAAGUACUAGAUGAAAACCUGAGUGACUCUAUUUAAAAUUUUGGAAAAUAGAUUACUUUUCUGACUAUAAAAUAAAAAAUGAUAAUAGAAGCCAUGGAUAAGUUUCGCUUAAAAGAUUUUACAAUAUUUGCAUGGCAAUAAUACUAUAAGCAAAGUAAAAAUACAAAAUCAAACUGACAUCUAUUUUUUAUAACUUAUACCACAGAAAAAAAGAGUUAAUAUCUUAAAUUUGUAAAGAUUGAAUACAAUCCAAAUGUCCAUUGGUAAAGGUCUGGUUGAAUAAAUAACCACACAGUGGAAUAUUAUAUAGUUGAAAAAAAGAAUUAGGACAAUUUCUAUAUUCUGUUAGAUCUCCAGGAUAUGUUAUUAAAGAAAAAUUGCAAGCUGGAAAAAAAUAUAUGGGGAUGCUACCUUUUAUUUAAGAAAGUGGUAUUUGAAGGUCAAUGUAUAAUAAUUUAUUUAAAACAAUACAGCAAUGGCAGGAUAAGCUCUACAUUAAAAAAAAGUUUAUAGGAGGGAGAAAGCAGAGUGGAAGGCUCCCUAUGAGAAGCUAGCUUUUUAAAAAUAUACCUUAAUAUAUAGAUUUGACCUUGUAACUAGAUAAAUAUUUUAUGUAAUUUUAUUAAAAGACAAUAUUUAAAAUAUAGUUUCUCAUAAUUGAAAAUGAAAUAAAUUAUAUAAAAAAAUAGUCUGUACAGUGGUGGAAAACCAUACAGAAAAUACUAAACUAAUAAUUUAAGGUAAUUUGACUGUACUGAGAUAUACCCUGAGGACACAAUUAACUGAAACAUUUUUUAAUAUUUUGUUGGAUAUAGUAUUGAUUUUAUAAUUUUGGGGCUGUUUUGUCUCAUAAAUAAAAUGAAUAAUUAUUUGGAUAUCAUUUAAAAUGUGGAGUUUCAGCAUAUUUUAAAAGGAGAUAUAAAUGUAAGGUCAAUGAAACUAAGUAAAAUUACAUUCUGUGUUUGAAUUGAAAAAAUAUCAGAAUAAACCUAUGGUGACAUAAACAAAAGCAAAGUUGACUUCUAGCUUUGCACACUGAAAACAUCUAGAAACAAUGGCUAAUCUAAUAGUAAUGAACUCCUCUAACAUACAGAUUAUGGUCUCUAAUUACCAUUUUCUGUCAAAAAAUGAAUCAAGAAUCCUUUGCUAAUUGCAGUUGUGUCACAGUUGAUUGGAGCAUCUUGUCAUUCCAGAAAUCAAGAAAUAUCAAAAUAUCCUUACAUUAAAAGAUUCAAGACAUGAAAAUGUUUCCUGGCCAAAGACAGAACAAUUGGAGCAUCAUUAAAGAUAAUAAUUGUCACGUAUUUAUAUUUAUUAAAAAUUUUAAAUGCAUUAGUUUAUAAUAGGUUAAAAAACAAAAAAUAAAAAAUACUUUAUCAUUUUUCCACAUGUUUUUCCAUUAUUGUAUAUUUUUGAAGGAUAUCAGAAAAUUAUCUUGUUAUUUUGAAAGUUGGUAAAUAAAGAGAAAGAAUACAGUAUUUAUUUUGCCUUUCAUAAUAAUCUAUAUCUCAGGUUAACUAUUUGUUGAUAAGUUUCUUUUUCUAAUAGCAUUUGUUUCAGCUAAUAAAGGAUUAGGAAUGACAGAACUAGAAUAUGACAAUUUUUGUAACUGCUCAUGGAUUUAUGGAUCUAGGCAAUAAUCAUCUAUGGCUACCAACAUCCCAAAGAGACAAACCAGCAUUGGAUAGUUCAUGAAGAAAUCAUACAACACCAUGUGUGAAGUUAUCUUGGGAAACAAUGCACCCUGAAUCAUAUUGAGCCUUUAGAUCUAAGUACUAUUUAAUAAGAAACCAUUACAAGCAACCAUGGAGAUGCAAUCACCAGGAGCAGCUUGUGAGGAAUUCUACAAGUCAGACAACUCUUUUUCCUCAACAAAUGACCUGCAAGGCAAAAAAAGUACAGAUGGAGAUGGAAGCCUACAAAGUAAAAGUGACUUAUGACCUAGGUAAUGGGUUGAUAGGUUCAGCAAACCACCAUGGCACAUGUUUACCCGUGUAAGAAACCUGCACAUCCUGCACAUAUAUCCAGGAACUUAAAAUAAAAUAAUGUUUUAAAAGUGACUUAUGAAUGUGCUUUAUUUGAAUCCUGACUCAAAUGAGUAAGCUGUAAAAAACAGAAGAAUUUUCUAUUCUUUCCCUACCAAGUCAGCCUUACUUAUUUAUUUUAUCUUCCUAUUCAUAAUAAGCACUAUAUAUGUGUUCCCUAUUCUAAUAUAAAACUACCUUUUCUUUUUUCCAAAUUAGUAAGUAUAGGACUUGAGCAUUCAAAAGACUCUAAGUAACAUAAAAACAGAAAUUUUAUCUAUUUUGUUUACUGUUUUGUCUUCACUGCUGAGAACAUUAUCUGGAAAUUAGUAGAUGCUUAAUUAAUAUCUGUUGAGUGAAUGACUCAUAUUUAGUUACAUUUAGAGUUGGAAUUUGUCCCAGGUUUUCUGAUUUCCAACCUAGCAUAAGUGCCCCUUCACCACUUUACUAGAUGCUAUCCAUAACCUGCCCUGAUAAUCCCUUGACCCACCUUAGUUUAUGCAUCAAGGCAGUUUCCAGCAUGGUCUCAGCUUCCCACCCCAAGCAUCCAGUUUUUUCUUCUUCCUUGCCUGAAGGUUUUCUUCAGUGGGUAAGUAGGCACAAUCCAGAAUUGCGUAACCCUAGGAAAGCCUCAGGAGCAAACCUUAACAAAUGGGAAAUUGGAGUCAGUGUAUAAAUGCUCUAGCCUUUCAACCCUCCGAUGAGGUUUUUUUUUGAGAUAUGUUUCACUUGGUGUCCUAGAGGAUUCCUGAGAGACCUGAACCCAGUUCUCCAUGACAAUUACGUGAUCAGGGAAACUUUAACAUAUCUGUGCCUUAUCCCUAUAACUUAUGUAAUAACAGCUUUCUGUAGUGGAAAGAAAACAGCUGUUCCAAAAUCUUCAUAUAUAUUGAAUCUCCACAAGUCCUUACAAAAUAAGUGCUAACUUAGGUAUUUUUAAUUUAGAGAUGAGAAAACUGAAGCUCCAAGUGGCUAACUAAUUUAUCCAGUACUUAUACCCGUAGAGUAGAUACUGUUGGGCCAGGAUUUCUAUUCAGCUCUGUGAAAAUACAGAUGCCAUGAACUUUCAGCCAUAGAGUGGUGCAUUCCUGCAUUUCUAGACUAAGGUGGCCAAAAGAACUUAAUUAAAUUAUUGGUUCAAUCGUUCACUGAAGAAUCUCAAUGUCAUGCAGUUCAUUAACAAGCAUCUGAUUCUUCAGCAUUCUGGUGCUUGUACUGAAGAAAAGAUUUAUAUGUUAUAAAUCACUACUCCUUGUCUUUUCAUUAUUUCUCUCAAGUUCUUAAGGGGAAUGAUGAUGAAGAAUAGAAAAAUAGGGAGAAAUAGUAGAAGGAUAAAAUCAAAACCUUUUAACAGUUUUAGCCUCAAAGCUAUUUUGAAGAUAAAUGACAUAUCUAGGGUACAGAGUUAAUCUUUGACAAAAGACAAGCCCCUUGUGGGAUUUUCUAUUUGCUUGUUUUACUGAUUAUUUUUAUUUUGUCCUGACAGGAUUUUGCACCAUCAGAUACAUUUUGAUAUUAGAAGAUAAAGAGAUUGGCCCGAAACUGGGAUGGAGGAGAAGCAGCCAAAGAGUUGUUCUGUUUCUUAAGUUACUUUGAAGGUUGUACACUUUUAAUAUUCAUUUUGAGGAAUAAAUAAUUUAGACAUCCAAUUAAAUAC
rnacentral:lncRNA from 10 species